rnacentral:lncRNA from 1 species
CCCAUAACACAAUUUUGUGCCUACAAACGACACUUGUAUCUUGACAAUAUGAAUUACAAAAAUAAGUGCAAUUAUAAUGCAGGUCUCAGCCUAAAGGUGGUAUGCUUUAGAGUAAAAUAUAUUAUAUUUCUAGGCUAACCAAUGCACAGAAGUUCCAGAAAUUAACAGUAACGUAAGAAAUCUUCAGCUAAGAAACUUCACUACAUAAACUCUCUACGUGUCUCAAAUAUCAGGAUACCAAGGAUACAAGACCAAAAAACUACAAUCAAUAGAGAAACACCAAGACAAAUUCACUCACCAAAUCCCCGUCCUGAUUUUGAACCACAAAUGUCGCACUGCCAUGCAUCCUUUCCAAGGAAAUGAAAAGCCAAAAAAGAAAAAUUAGUUAGCGAGAUGCACCAACUUCUGUUGAAUCAGAUGGGGAAAAAAGAAAAAAUGAAAGAUUACUCUGGCAUCCACAUAAAUACAUGUAUCUGAGUAUAUGCAUCAUAUACACCAACCUAUUCUUAUAUGCUUAUAUGUACACAGAUCUAAAGCUAAAUAUGCAAUUAAGUAGAUAAUAUAAAUCAACCGAGAUACCACACAGUUAAAUUUUUUAACUUGAUCACAUUAUAUUCCGUUUCAUUUAUAAUAGUUAAAUUGACAACCAAAAGCUAACCAUGGCUGCCUGGGGAAAUACACCUAGUGAGUGAUGCCCGACGUUAUCAUAUAAUGACAAGCACCACCUUUUCUUUGCACGUGGAGAAUAGUACUCGGUCACAAACUUCCUCCAGUAGGCAAUAG